AUUGUUGUAUCUGACCCUGUUGUGUCUUUCCGUGAAACUGUUUUGGAGAAAUCUUCACGCACUGUGAUGAGCAAAUCCCCCAACAAACAUAACCGUUUGUACAUGGAAGCGCGUCCAAUGGAGGAAGGUUUGGCGGAAGCCAUUGACGAAGGGCGUAUUGGUCCACGUGACGACCCAAAGGUCCGAGGAAAGAUUCUCUCAGAAGAAUUCGGUUGGGACAAGGAUCUUGCCAAGAAGAUCUGGUGUUUUGGACCUGAAACAACUGGACCCAACAUGGUUGUUGACAUGUGUAAGGGAGUCCAGUACCUGAACGAAAUCAAGGAUUCGGUUGUUGCUGGUUUCCAAUGGGCAUCAAAGGAAGGCGCGUUGGCUGAAGAGAACAUGAGAGGCAUCUGUUUUGAAGUGUGUGAUGUUGUGCUCCAUGCUGAUGCUAUUCAUCGUGGUGGUGGACAAGUUAUCCCGACUGCCCGACGUGUGAUCUAUGCGUCUCAGCUGACCGCAAAACCAAGGUUGUUGGAGCCGGUUUACUUGGUGGAAAUUCAAGCACCGGAGCAGGCGCUUGGUGGAAUCUACAGUGUGCUGAAUCAAAGGCGUGGGCAUGUGUUUGAGGAGAUGCAGAGGCAAGGAACACCUUUGUACAACAUUAAAGCUUAUCUCCCUGUGGUUGAGUCUUUU
rnacentral:lncRNA from 1 species